rnacentral:lncRNA from 1 species
AAGAUGGGCACCAGCUGUGUAAAGGGUCUAUACAUGUGAGGAAUGUGACGCAUGCACACAAUCCCUAAGGACUCCUAGCCUGCCUGCUGGGUGUUCAUAAUGGAGGAAGGGCCACUGGGAUCACGGCAGACAGACAGCAGGGCUGGGAACACUCACGUGGAAGGCAAACUGGCCCGAGAAGUCAUACAUGCCACAGGAGUGCAUGAGGCUGAGGGUGUUGCGCACGGCUUCCGCACUCAGCACGCUCUCCCCUGUGAUGGGGCAGAUGCCGCCAUUGGCAAGAGUGGCCGCCAUGACACUGCCUGACUCACAGGUAACCUCCACAGAGCACAGCUAUAGAAACAAGAGAGGUCAAAGGGCA